AAGCCACGCCCAGGCUCCUUGCUGUCUCCUUCUUGCUCACACACCAAAUACUGUUUCAGUUUCCACACAGGCCUCAACUCUCUCACACACUGACAAGACGCUAGCCAGAUUAAUACUGAUAGAUGCUGGUAGGGAGAGGCAGAAUUUCCCUCCCUUAUUUUCCUCUCCAAAAACUAAGCCCAACCACAUAGUUUUAUAAAAAAGCAGUAUGAU